AGCCCCCCACUGUGCUCACUAAAAUUGGAAGAUACAGAGAUUAGCAUGGACCCUAUGCAAUGAUGAUAUGCAAAUUUGUGAAGCAUUCCAUAUUUCU
rnacentral:snRNA from 1 species